rnacentral:lncRNA from 13 species
GCUAUUAGAAAGCAAAGAAAAUGACUCUAUGCAAGGCGAAAACUUUGAAAGGCAAAAGAGCUCUACUAAUAAAUAUGUAUCAGAGCCUCAAAUAAAAAUACGACAACUUUCCGACCAGGAAAUUGCAAAUUGGAAAAACCGACGACAGCCUCUCAACUCAAUUGAGAAUUUUAAGCAAAAACCACGUACCUCGCAUAGACAUCGACGCAUGCCCCACAAAUUUCUUGAUGUAUAUUAAAAUAUGAACUAGAGUGAAAGGAAUUUACAUUGGACGCUUAUGUUCAAAGACAAGUGAUCUUCUAAUCACAUAUGUGCAUCGUUUGUACGUCUGAUAUUAGAAAUAACAUGACAGCAAAAAAUGCUCUUUUCAGUUUUUUCUUUUAUUUUCUUGUUAUAAAAAUUCGUACGUAUAUAUUUUUUGAAAAUUAAAGUAUAUACAAUAGAAAUGUACAAUAAAAAUGUACUUUAUAUGCUUUGUUGAUUGAUUAAGAAAGAUUUUUAUAAGUGAUAUAAGUGCAAUACAAAAAACUAGAAAUGAAAAUAUUGUCAGAAUUAAAAGUAAAUUAAACAUUAAACAGGUGAAAUUGCACAAAUAAUACAAUUAAUAUUACAAUGCAAAGCGUUGAUCACUGACAUGUUAUAACACAUACAGUGUACUACAUCAUCGUAAAUAGUAAUACUGCUGUUUUGAGUUAUAAUUAUGAAAUAUAGAGUUUAUGAAAUAUAAUCUAAAUAAGUCUAUGUAGAGGAUGUAAUUACUUUGUAACUUGCCUUUAAAAUUAACUUUAAUUCAUGUAUUUGCAAUCUUAUAAAAAUAAACCGAUGGAAAGUA